GCCAGGCAUGGUGGCACAUGCCUGUAAUCUCAGUGGCUCAGGAGGCUGAGGCAGGAGGAUCGCAAGUUCAAAGCCAGCUUCAGCAAAAGUAAGGCACUAUGCAACUCCUUGAGACCCUGUCUCUA
rnacentral:sRNA from 1 species